rnacentral:rRNA from 1 species
UGAGACAGGUGCUGCAUGGCUGUCGUCAGCUCGUGUUGUGAAAUGUUGGGUUAAGUCCCGCAACGAGCGCAACCCUUAUCCUUUGUUGCCAGCGAUUCGGUCGGGAACUCAAAGGAGACUGCCGGUGAUAAACCGGAGGAAGGUGGGGAUGACGUCAAGUCAUCAUGGCCCUUACGAGUAGGGCUACACACGUGCUACAAUGGCGUAUACAAAGAGAAGCGACCUCGCGAGAGCAAGCGGACCUCAUAAAGUACGUCGUAGUCCGGAUUGGAGUCUGCAACUCGACUCCAUGAAGUCGGAAUCGCUAGUAAUCGUAGAUCAGAAUGCUACGGUGAAUACGUUCCCGGGCCUUGUACACACCGCCCGUCACACCAUGGGAGUGGGUUGCAAAAGAAGUAGGUAGCUUAACCUUCGGGAGGGCGCUUACCACUUUGUGAUUCAUGACUGGGGUGAAGUCGUAACAAGGUAACCGUAGGGGAACCUGCGGUUGGAUCACCUCCUUA